rnacentral:rRNA from 1 species
UACGGAGGGUGCAAGCGUUAUCCGGAUUCACUGGGUUUAAAGGGUGCGUAGGUGGUUUUGUAAGUCAGUGGUGAAAGCCCGGAGCUUAACUCCGGAACUGCCAUUGAUACUGCUUAACUUGAAUCAAGUAGAGGUGGAUGGAAUAAUACAUGUAGCGGUGAAAUGCUUAGAUAUGUAUUAGAACACCGAUUGCGAAGGCAGUUCACUAUGCUUGUAUUGACACUGAGGCACGAAAGCGUGGGGAUCAAACAGG